CAGCUGGGGAGUCUCGGGUGUCAUGGACUAGCAAUACCUUGACAUUAUUCCCUCUACUACAAUUACGGCAUGGCGGAGUUGUUCAAAAGUGCGUUUGGGUAUCUAGGAGCCAACGGGGCCGCCUCUGACAGCGACUUCGUGGGCCAAGAAGUGGAGAUAAACGGAAUUAAGCUUAGAAUCAAGAAACUUAUCGCGGAAGGUGGUUUUGCCUUUGUGUUCGUGGCUCAAGAUGUCUCCACAGGGAAGACUUAUGCUCUCAAGCGGCUGCUUGGGGCAGACGCUGUGGCCUGUGACGCCAUCAAGCAGGAAAUUGCAGUGUCCAAGCAGCUCUCAGGCCACCCUCACAUCGUGGAGUUCAUCGCCGCCGCUGCCAUCAGCAAGGCACAGAGCAAGGAGAACCGCAAUGAGUUCCUCCUCCUCUCUGAACUGUGCACAGGUGGGUCGCUGGUGGAUGCGCUGCGGCUCCUUGACGGCAACACUCUGAAGGUACAGCAGGUGGCAUCCAUUCUGUACCAGACCACUAAGGCUGUACAACACAUGCAGAGCCAGAGUCCGCCCAUCACCCACCGCGACCUGAAGGUGGAGAACCUGCUCAUCAGUGAAACGGGUCACAUCAAACUGUGUGACUUUGGCUCAGCGAUGAAGAAGACUUACGAGAUCGAUGUGGGCUGGAGUGCUCACCAGAGGGCGAUGUUGGAGGAUGAGAUGGCACAGCACACCACCCCAAUGUAUCGCGCCCCUGAGAUGCUGGACACGUGGAACAACUACCCUAUCAACUGUCAGGCUGAUGUGUGGGCGCUCGGCUGCAUCCUCUACUACCUCUGCUACCUCAAGCAUCCCUUCGAGGAUUCUGCCAAGCUGAGAAUUGUGAAUGGCAACUUUGUGAUCCCUGCUAAUGAUGGGAAGUACGACUGUUUUCACGAGCUGAUCCGCGGCAUGCUGCGUGUGGACCCCAACCAGCGGUUCAGGGUGUCCGAGGUGCUGGAACGAGUAGCAGCUGUGGCGGAGACCAAGGGCUUUGACAUGAAGGGACCCAUCAACCUGCCCCUCAAGAAGAUCGACCUUAACACUCCCAUUUUCCAGCCUGAGGUGAAUGGGCGUGCUGGUGAACAGAAGCGUGCCUCCCCACCCACUCGGCCCCCUGCUCCUCGCUCCCCUGUACCCUCCCGCCCACCACGGCCUGCCUCCCACCCACAGCAAGGUGUGGGUGGGCCAGGACAUCCCCCACCCCCAUCCCACCCAGCAGCCAGCGUGGGUGGGGGAGGAGGCGGGGGUAGUGGUGGUGGUGGUCUUUUCUCGUCACUCAAGGGUUACUCAGGAAGCAUCUUCAAGAAUAUCAAGGACACAUCGAGUAAAGUAAUGCAGACAGUCAGCCAGUCUAUCACUCGUACUGACCUGGACCUGUCCCACAUCACCUCCCGACUAGUGGCCAUGUCCUACCCAGCGGAGGGCCUUGAGUCGGCCUACAGGAACCACGUGGAGGAUGUUAAAGCUGUAUUGGAGGGCAGGUACCCGGGCCACUACAUCAUCUACAACGUGUCUGGCCGGCAGUACAUGGCCACCAAGUUCAACGCUCGUGUAGUGGAAGGGAACUGGUCCAGCAAGAAGGCGCCGACCCUGGGUGCCCUGUACAACCUGGCCUGCAGCAUCUACGACUACCUGGCUAAGGACACCAGGAAUGUUGUCGUAGUCCACUGCAUUGAUGGCAAGGCGUCCACUUCCAUGCUGAUGUGUUCCUUCCUGUUGUUGUGCCAUGCCUUCAAGCAGCCAGAACAAGCCCUCAACAUGUUUGCCAUCAAGCGCAGCCCACCAGACCUCCAGCCAUCACAGUUCAGAUACCUGGAGUACAUGCGUGAUCUGACCUCCUCCCCACCCAUUCUGCCUCACUUCAAGCCCGUCACACUCACCUCCAUCAUUGUGACACCCAUUCCUCUCUUCACCCAGCGCAGGGAUGGGGUGCGGCCAUACGUGGAGGUGUGGCAGGGGGAUCACAAGAUGCUGUCCACCCAACAAGAGUAUGACCGCAUGAGGCUGUACAUGCCGCAGGAAAACAAGAUCAUCCUGCCGGUGAACAUCCACCUGGUGGGUGACGUGUGUGUGUAUGUGUUCCAUGCACGCCGCAUGAUGGGUAAGGUCAUCGGCGUCAAGGUGGCUCAGCUCCAGUUCCACACGGGAUUCAUUCCAGAGGAGGACACAUCUCUGCGCUUCACCUUACACGAGCUGGACGACAUCACUGAGCCAGACCGCUAUCCUGAGAAGUUCACCAUCACCGUCAACAUCUUUGUGUCAGACGUGGACCGGACACCACCCCAGCAGCCACCCUGGGCCAGCCGCCUCCCCGGCACCUUCAAGCCACACUUUGCCUUCGCCACCGCCAUAGAAAUGGAGGAGACCAGGGACAAGUUUGCAGCCAGUGCCCACGGGUCCCCUGCCCCCCCACGCAGAGACUCCCUGCCCCGCCCCUCUCCCACCACCGCCAACACAGCUGUGCCACCAGCCUCAAAGGGAGACUUCAUGGCCUCCCUCAAGUGGGACUCCACUCAGAACAGACAGGCUGCUCCUGGUGAGGAGGUGAAGGAGCUGAUAUCAGAUGAGGAGGAGGAGGUUGACAUCACUUCCAUCCCAAGCCAGCCUCCUCCUCGCCCUCCUGAGCCCUCCAUCAGUUCUGGUGAGGCGGACCUUCUCAACUUGGGUGGCAGCGGUGGCAGCAAGGCGGAUACCAACAAGCUGGCCACUGAUGUCAACCUGCUGGACAUUGGCGGCAGUGGCGGUGGCGGUGGCGGUGGCAUUGCCAAGGACCCCAGCAACUUUGACUUGCUUAGUGGCAUAGGGGAGGGUGGCAGCGGGGAGAGGGCGCCUCCUGUGGCAGAGACCAGCACACCCCAGACUGCCUCUCAGGGCAACCUGUUUGACCCCUUCAGUAGCGGAAUGAGUGCCCCGGCAGCUGCCCCACAGCCCCCUACCACACAGGACCUGUUCAACCAGUUCUCAGUGCCCAGCCCAGUGCAGCAAAACACAAAUCUGCUGGGCGGACCGGGUUUGAGUCCCAUGGGUGGAGGUGGGGCCCCCAUAAUGGGUGGCAGGGCCAUGGGGGGCACCACUAGUCCCAACUCUGCUGCAAUGCCAAACUUCAUGCGGCCGCCACCGCCCCAGCAACAGCAGCAGCAGCCACAGCAGCCAUCGAAGCCAGCUGAUCCUUUUGCUGAGCUGGGUAACCUGGCUGGCAUGGGAGGCUGGGGAGGAUCCAAGCCCACCACACCUAAGGGAGGCACUCCAGCUGGUGGCACUCCCAUGGGAGGCAGCACCCCUGUCAUGGGCUCGCCCCAGCACCGGCCUCAAGCACCAGGGGCCUGGUUAAACCAACACACACCAGGCACAAUGGGGAGCCAGGCUGGAGGCUGGCAACAGCAACAGCAACAACAACAACAACAACAAACACAACAGCCACCCCCAAGACCCCCCUAUACACCCUCGCCACAGCCACAGUUCCAGACUCCCACGGGCAAAACCCCCACAGGCACACCCCACCACCAGAUGAAGUCUCCGUCGCAGCCCAACUACGGCCGAGCCAACUUUGAUGCCGGUAACAAGAAUUCUGGCGGUGCAGGGAAGGGCAGAGUGGGAGAGGAUGCCUUUGGUGACCUGCUGGGUUCUCAGGGCUUCAGCUUCAGUAGUGGUAAGGACGCUGGGCCACGCACCAUGGCACAGAUGAAGAAGGUGGAGAUGGCCAAGAACAUGGACCCAGAGAAGCUCAAGGUGAUGGAAUGGACCGAAGGAAAGAAGAAGAACAUCCGGGCGCUGAUCUGCUCGUUGCACACCAUCAUCUGGGACGGCUGUAAGUGGAAUGAGUGUGGCAUGCACCAGCUGGUCCAAGCCAAUGAUGUGAAGAAGAUGUAUCGCAAGGCUUGUCUCGCUGUGCAUCCCGAUAAGUGUACGGGGACGGAACACGAAUCUCUGGCCAAACUAAUUUUUAUGGAGCUUAAUGAUGCAUAUUCUGAAUUUGAAAACGACCCAAGCCAGCAGCAGAUGUUCAAGUGAGGAGGAGGAGGAGGAGGUGGAGAUGGAGGAGGUAAGACAGGUGACCCAGAGAGUGAUACAACCUUCCCUGGUGUAUCCCUGGCCUGUACUCUGCCUGCCGUCAUUACAAUGCUGGCUAUUCAGAUCUUCCUUGUGUUAUAAAGGUGUCCAGGUAGCCGUGAGUGGGGAGUGCUGGCCUCGUCCCGCCAGUGUGCAGUGUGCAGUGUGUGGUGCCUCAAGUCACCAGCCCUGGUCAUGGCAGUGCUGGCAGUGGGCUCCCUCAGGAUGCCGGAGUCAUGACAGCUUGUGUCCACUCUCCUGGCUCUGGUUUGUGCCGUAACGUACGGUACUCUUGCUUUAGCUGUGUGUAUUUACCUAGUUGUUAAUGUGUGUGUGUGUGUGUGUGUGUGUGUGUGUGUGUGUGUGUGUGUGUGUGUGUGUGUGUGUGUGUGUGUGUGUGUGUGUGUGUGUGUGUCACAUUCUGUUGCAUUCUUGUAUCCUUUAAGCUUUACUUGAUGAACAAUGCCUCCUGCAAAGGAGAUCUCAGCUUGGUGUAAUAGCCUGGCUGUAAGGUGCUGCUGCUGCUGCUGCUGCUGCUGCUGGUGUUGGAGACCAAUAUAUACUUAUCAGCCUCCUGAGAGAGAUGAUAUUUUGACUGACAAAUUGUAAGUUUGUCAGCCCAAGCAGCUUAAGUUUCCAGAGCAGGUUGUCUGAAGUGAACCAUUACUCAGAUGUGACCUCCUCAUGCCAGGGUUUGUGUUGGAAGGAAAGGUUGUUGCUUACUUUGAGUGGUGCUGUGCAUUGUGGGAAGGAAAAAAGGAAGGGCCAUGUGGGCCGCUGCAAAUGUAGGGCUGUGUGGUGGCUGGCCUGCUUUCCAUUUAUGCAGGGAACCACAGAGUUUCUUCAACUGUGUGGCAUGUGGUCCGUGCUUGCCAAACAUGGUGAAAGGAAACAGUGUUGAGCAGAGUGGUUUUAGUGUGUGUGUGUGUGUGUGCGUGCGUGUGUAUGUGUGUGUGUGUGUCAGGGAACAGUUUUGAGACAAUAGGAAAUCUCUUAAUUAUAAAGCUGAUGAGCUAACCAAAGACUUUACACGAUAUUCUGCCUUCAGUAUUAUUAAUCUUGACAACUUUUUUUACCCUUUCCAAGGGAGACAGAAGGGAGAGUUGAGUGAAGUGUAUCUUUAAUGUAAUGGAGAUCUCUGUAAGAAAAUGUUAUGUAAUGGUAAAGAUUAUUCGGUUGUGUAAAAAUUUUUAUGUAUAUUCUCACCACCCUGAAGUGUUAUGAACAUAUGUAUUUAUGCUAUAAUUUAUCUUUCAGUUUCACUCAUUUUAGUUGUGUUAGGGUCAUUACAUUACCUUUAUUUUAGUUUGCUUUAUUCUCUAAGUUGUAUUUGAGCCCCAUACAAGUUGUCCAGUGCCUCCCAUUGUCCACCUUAUAUGUAGCAUUGCACAGUAUAUAUAUAUAUAUAUAUAUAUAUAUUAGAAAUUUGUCUUGAGUUUCACAUGAAAAGGAGAAAAUUCAGUAAUGAAUUCUAUGAGUUAGGUAGUUAGAUGAAUUUAGUAAUAAGGUUUACUAAGCACAUGAUAUUUUUCUAUUUGCAUCAGUGGGUGAGGAAGCAGAGCUCACCUCUGCCUCCCCACCUCUUGGUGGCUGUUAGGAUCACUUUACAUACAUACAUAUUGUUUGUAUGUCUGUCCAUUUAUUGUCUUCUUCCUGUUUCAACAUGUUGCUUUCUUCACCCCUGUAAGGACUCCCUCCAUGGUGAUGGCCAAGGCACGUCACCAGGGCAGCUGCUGUGGCUACUGCUCACGGCACACUGCUUGCAUUCCACUUCACCACCCUCACUCCUCCACUCUGUCCUUCACUCCAACCACUCUCUGCCCACGCACCUGCACUUGGUCUCCUUCACUCCCAGCCACCUGACACCCUCCCGUUUGGCCACACUUCCAAACUCCCCUUUCUGUCCUGUUUCACUCCAGUCCUGUGCACCAGCCACCCUGCAGUGUGCAUCUCCUUGCCAGGGUUGUUCCCGUGCAUUUGUCGCCAACAUGUUUCCAUGUGUCUUGCCUUCAGACUCUUCACCAGUCACUCUUCAAUUUUCUCAGUGUUUUUAUGCAAACAUGCUGUAAGAAAGCUAUAUACACUGUGCUAAAUAGAAUUACAUGAUGAUAUGCAAAGCAUUUUGAAGACUGGUGUCACAGCAACAUGAGUGUGUGUGUAUGUGUGUGUGUGUUUUGUCAUGAUGUUGCAACGGCACUGCUUUUCAUUGCGGAGGAGGGAGUGAGUUGUCAGACAUGGCAGGCAGAGAGUACUGUGCUUCCCUCUCCAUCCCUGCCACUGACACCAGAACACUGCUGCUUGUCAAGGAUUGGAAAGUCGUCUCUAAUUGUUACUGUGUAUACUGCUGAGCUCCUUGAGUGGCCCUGAACUCAGCACUAAAUCUGUUUGUGUGCUGUCAACUUUAUAAGAUGUGUGCUUGAGAUACAGUACUGAAGUGGCAGGCAGGGUUCAGUCAGCACCAGUCUUGCUUGCUGCAGACCAAAAGUGAGGAAGUCAGGACUUUUGAGCAACAAAUUUUGAGAUCCUGAGGAAUGACACUAAUGGUUUAAGCCUCCACUUGUCACUCACUAGUCUGGCUUCAUGCUGGCUUAGGAAAUUUCUCUGUGUUACAGUUGUGCGAGUUAUGUCUCUCUGUGUGUGUGUGUGUGGUGUGUGUGUGUGUGUGUGUGUGUGUGUGUGUGUGUGUGUGUGUGUGUGUGUGUGUGUGUGUGUGUGUGUGUGUGUGUGUGUGUGUGUGUGUGUGUGUGUGUGUGUGUGUGUGUGCAUUUGCGUGUAAAUAAGUGUAAAAAUAUACGAAGUUACAUUAUUGUUGUGUAAAUCGUUAAAACUUCAUGAUUAAUAACAUCACUGUUCAGUGAGAGAGAGAAAGAGAAAGAGAAUUUAAUGGAUAUAGUAAGCAAAAUAGAAUUAUCUUACAGAUGAGAAGAGAACAAUGAGUGUUUAGAAAUUGUUAUGUAGGUGUGUUGCUUAGGAAUCCCAAUACCUACCACAUGUAAAUGAAUAUUAUACUGUAUAUUAAGAAAGUAUUGCAUGCAUAGGGUAAAAAAUUAAUUCCAUUGUGAUUUGCAAGAAAACUAAGAGGAAACAGAGAUACUAUGUGUGUAAAUAGAGAGAAACUACAUAGGGUAGCUUGAGUGAAUGUCCAUCUCCAUUUUGUUUGUGAUAAUAUGAGUAAGUUCACCCCAGUUAUACUCAUCCAAUGAGUUUGUGUGUGUGUGUGUGUGUGUGUGUGUGUGUUUGUGUUUGUGUUUGUGUUUGUGUUUGUGUGUACAUUUAUGAGAGAGAGAGAGAGAGAGAGAGAGAGAGAGAGAAUUUUAUAGGCAAUUAUAUGAUGUUUUUAUUUGUCUUAUAUACCAGUUCACAAACCUCUCUAGAGUAAUAACUUUACACUUCAUUCUGGUUCCAGUAUUGAGUGUUCAGCGUUGACAGGGACCUUUGCAGCAAGUCACGUGAUAAACAAACAUUUCACUGUCACUCAUUGGCUCAAACACUCCUGUGCUUUACCUCUUUACCUCUACUAUUUCAAAAGACUUUAUUUAAAUUUACAUUAGUUUUUCUAGGUGUUUUCAUGAUUCUAGAGGCAGAUUGAAAAGGUUUCUACAUUAUGAACAAGAGAAACACUAGAAAAUCCUGCUAAUUAUCCCUGAGGCCUUGGAAAAUAGUUAUGGUGAGAGAGCAACAGACCUUGCUCUCAUACUGACUAGAAGCUGCAGAUCACCAGGUCAACUUUAGAUGAGAAAUAAGGUCACUCUUUUUGUAUUGUUUUUGUGAAGCACCCAUUGAUUAUUAUUAUUAUUAUUAUUAUUAUUAUUAUUAUUAUUAUUAUUAUUAUUAUUAUUAUUAUUAUCGUUAUUAUUAAGGGUUAAGCCAGAGAUGCUAAUGGUCUUUGAGGAAACUAGUCACUUUUAUUUUGAUGUAUUUGCAUUUAUUUGUUUUCUAUUUUUGCUCUUUUUAUUUUGGCAAUCAUGUUAGAGAGAGAGAGAGAGAGAGAGAGAGAGAAUUUAGUCUUUGCAGUGUCUAAUUACCUUCACCUCACUACUUUAGCUUAUUGUAGCUUCUCUAAUAGGCCAGUAGGUCUGCUGCUGCUGCUUGUGCUUCCUUUGUGUUCCCUCUAUGGCAUGCCCUCCUUAUCACUCACCCAUUAUUUAGCUAUGCAAUGACCCAUCACUCCACUGAUUAUAUACACAGAAAAUAGAAAAAAAUAUUGGUUGUUUUUAUUUCAUUGCAUUAUUUCUCUUAUUACAAUCAAGGAGAGACAAAUAGAUUAAUAUGCAAGAUUUACUUUUUUUCAUUAUUAUUAUUUAUUUAUUUUUUUUUUUUUUCUGUUUAGAAUUAUGUAUGUAUUGUAUAGGUAUCUAUACACACACACUCACACACACACACACACACACACACACACACACACACACACACACACACACACACACACACACACACACACACACACUGCAUUAAUUUCACUGAUAAGCUAGAAUUGUCAUUUUAUUUUCCAUCUCCAUCCAAAAUAUGUGAGCCCUUUCAGAGAGUGAGUGAGUAAGAGAGAGUGAUUGAAUCCAUUUAUGAGUGUUGAGUUUGUCAUCAUCUAUACUCAUUUCGUCCCUCUGUGAGUCAAAUACGUUGAGUUUGGUGUGCUCAAUCAUGUCCCUGUGAGUGAGUGAGUGAGUGAGUCAGUCAGUCAGUCAGUCAGUCAGUCUAUCCUCACACAGUCCCGUAUUGAUCUCAUGUCCCAAGAUGAUGAUGAUGAUUGUAAAUAGUGUGUUCAUAAUAAUUUUGAAAGUGGCAUACAUCUAUUUUAUUAGUGACACAUGCGUCGUGUAACAUUCCGAGGUCAUUACGUAUAUACCGCCACGUAUAUAUUUUGGCAAUUUAGAGGCAUUCCCGUCAGGCAUAAUUUGUAUUAAGGCCAUAAGCUGCUACUAAUACUUACACUAAUCAACUACUAUUACUACUGCUACUACUACUACUACUUCUACUUCACUUUCCUUCUUCUUGGUAAUCUUUUAAUGCGGCUUUAAACUGUUUGUUCCUCACUACUAUUACUACUAUAUUAUUACUACUACUACUACUACAAAUUUUUUUUUUUUUUUUUUUUUUUUUUUUUGUGAGAGCUGUUGUGCUUUACUUUCAUGUUUAAAUAAGAAAUGGUGAUAAUUGUUAAUACUUGAAAGGAUAUUGUUUCACACACACACACACACACACACACACACACACACACACACACACACACACACACACACACACACACACACACACACACACUACCAUACACGUCUACUACUACACAAUUACAAACAACAGCACAGUAUAAUAACCAAACAAACAAGACCACUUCUACAUACACAAACUAACUUUAAGAAUAUUUCCUUCCCCUGCCCCUCCCCCACACACUUUAUUUCCUCCCCUUCACCUCUACUUGUUUCCUGUUACCCCUACAAGAUUCCUCGUAGAAGCUGAGAGAGAAAUGUGACGAGUUGUAACAUGAGAAAGUUCAUGGCAAACCAGAAAUAAAGCCAUGCACGCAUA
rnacentral:misc_RNA from 1 species